AUUUUCCACAAUGGGGGCAACCCUGAUGGAGCAACGCCGCGUGCAGGAUGAAAGCCUUCGGGUUGUAAACUGCUUUUGUCUGUGACGAAUAUGACGGUAGCAGACGAAUAAGGAUCGGCUAACUACGUGCCAGCAGCCGCGGUCCUACGUAGGAUCCAAGCGUUAUCCGGAUUUACUGGGCGUAAAGAUUUGCGUAGGCGGCAGAACAAGUUAGUAGUGAAAUCGUAUGGCUCAACCAUAUUCACAUUGCUAAAACUGUUCAGCUUGAGAAUGAGAGAGGUCACUGGAAUUCCUUGUGUAGGAGUGAAAUCCGUAGAUACAAGGAGGAACACCGAUGGCGUAGGCAGGUGACUGGCUCAUUUCUGACGCUAAGGCACGAAAGCGUGGGGAGCGAACGGG
rnacentral:rRNA from 1 species